CACAACAUUAAGUCUGCUCUAAUGUUUCAGUUUGGAAGAAUUACCGAGCAAAUUGAGAGGCCUAGUCAGAAAUGUAAAGAAAGUAGAAGCUGAAAUAGCAGCUUUGAAGAUUUCAUACCUCAAGAAAAUCAACAAAGGCUCUAACAUCAUCAUUAUGGAUUCAUACUCUGAUUCAGCCAAAAUAGUUGCAAGAACACUAACAAGUCUUGGGUUCAAAAACUGCUGGAUUGUGGCUGAUGGGUUUUCUGGGAGCAGAGGGUGGUUGCAGAGUCGAUUAGGAACAGAUUCGUCUAAUUCAUUUAUCGCAGAGGUUCUUUCGCCAUCACGGAUCAUCCCCUCUGCCAAACGGUUUGGUACAACAAAGUUUCUUCCAGAGUGAAAGAAAAAUUGUGUAUGAAAACAAGAAUGUUUGAAUGUGCAUUGUUAGGUUAGAUUAUUACAGUCUCUUGUUGGAAUUUGCCUCACUGCUAUUCUUCUUGUUAAUGUGAGUUUAUUGAUCUUUUCUUGAAAUUGAAUGUGCAAAAGAAGCUAGAAAGGAGGCUUAUUUUAAGCCAAUAA